rnacentral:rRNA from 1 species
ACUCCUACGGGAGGCAGCAGUGGGGAAUAUUGCACAAUGGGCGCAAGCCUGAUGCAGCCAUGCCGCGUGUGUGAAGAAGGCCUUCGGGUUGUAAAGCACUUUCAGUAGGGAGGAAGGUAGUGUAGUUAACACCUGCACUAUUGACUGUACCUACAGAAGAAGCACCGGCUAACUCCGUGCCAGCAGCCGCGGUAAUACGGAGGGUGCGAGCGUUAAUCGGAAUUACUGGGCGUAAAGCGCAUGCAGGCGGCCUGUUAAGUCAGAUGUGAAAGCCCGGGGCUUAACCUCGGAAUUGCAUUUGAAACUGGC